rnacentral:rRNA from 1 species
AAGAAGAAGGGCGGUCUUGGGUUCCGUGACUUGUUUGGCUUUAACCUUGCCAUGCUAGUGAGGCAAGCUUGGAGAAUGCUGACAGUCCCUGACUCGCUUUGUGCACGUGUCCUUAAGGCAAAGUAUUUUGAGGAAUGUUCAAUUAAGGAGGCAUAACCUACAGCUGGGAUCUUAUAUACAUGGUGAAGUAUUUUGAAAGGAGUUGAACUACUUAAACAAGGUAUUAUCUGGAGGGUUGGGGAUGGAUCCAGAAUUAAUAUCUGGUGCGACCCCUGGAUACCUAGGGACGGUACAAGGCGUCCUUUGACUCCUAGAGGGAAUUGUGUUCUCACAAAAGUUUUAGAGCUCAUCAAUCCGGCAACUAUGACAUGGGAUGAGGAUCUAGUUCGGGAUGUGUUUCAGGUAGUGGAUGCAAGGAUCAUUCUGGCUACCCCCAUCAGAGAUGAGUUUGAAGACUGCCCGGCGUGGCACUACGAUAGUAAGGGUCAGAUUUCAGUAAAAUCUGCAUAUCAAGUUUAUGUACAAGGGUGUGAUAGUGUACUGGAAGCGAACAGUUCCCAAUCGAGUGGAAGAAAAUCUGGGAUGUGCCAUGCCAACCUAAGGUCAACCAGUUUCUAUGGAGACUGCCUCAUAAUAGUCUCCCGGUCAAGCUAA